UUUUUUUUUUUUUUCUUUUUUCUUUUUUGGUGCCUAUGAUUGAAUGUAUUGUGCUUUUUUUAAAAAAAACUAAGGUGUAAUUGACAUACAUUAGUUUCAGUUGUAAACAUAAGGAUUCAACAACAUCUGUUUAAACUGCAAAAUGAUCACAGUAAGUCUAGUUAAUAUCCGUCACUAUAUAUGGUUAUAGAUUUUUUUUCUUGUGAUGAGAACUUCUAAGAUCUACCCUCUUAGCAAUUUUCAAAUAUGCAACACAAGAUUAUUAGCUAUAGUCACCAUGCAGCACAUUAUAUCCCAUGGCAUUUUAUAACUGGAGAUUUGUACCUUGUGACUCCCUUCUGACCCACUUCUCCUACCCAACACCCCACCUCCAGCCUCUGGAAACCACUGAUCUGUUUGUUCUCUAUCCAUGAGCUUGGAUUUUGUUCUUGUUUUAGAUUCCAUACAUGAGAUCACAUGGUACCUGCCUUUCUCUGUCUGACCUUUUUCUUUUUAGGGCUACACUUGCGGCAUGUAGACAUUCCCAGGCUUCAGGUGGAAUCCAAACUACAGCUGCAGACAUAUGCCAUAGCCACGUGACACUGGAUCCAAGCUGCAUCUGUGAUCUACGCCACAGCUGGCAGCAACGCCAGAUCCUUAACCCACUGAGUGAGGCACCUUGAGAAUGUCUUUGUAAGUCUGGCCUAAGACGAUAACUCCUUUGGCUUGAAAAUUUCUGAAGUCAGUCUCUAGUGGAUCAGAUAAAGAUAUACUAGAGAUAAAUAAAUGUUCCAAGUUUUUAAAAAUCACAUCCACAAAGUAAGAUUCAGCCCAACCGCAAACAUGAUGCACAUGCUGCAGGCAAGGGGUUCUGAUCAAUUCAGAUGUCUGAUUCCUGAGGGCACAUGGGUGCCUGAAAAGCUUCUGAACUAAAUGAGACCCUCUGUCUUUCUUCACACCCAUCUGUCUGUAUGUUGUGUCAUAAAGAUGACUCUAGGGAGUGUGACAAGCCAUGCAGACCCCCAAACUGAAGUCUUAGUAUUUCCCCAGAGGAAGAUGCUACAGUGGCCUUCACCUUCCUUUUAAAGUCAGGGUUUGGAGAGGAUCCUGGCCUUGACCUUCCUCCUGAAGGCAGGGUUUGGAGUGGAUCCUGGCCACAACACGCGAGGUACCCGGCUGGGCGGUGACUAAUCCACUUCCCAGAGGACUCUGGUGUGGGAGCUCCGGGUGGGGGGGAAGUGAAUGGCAUGAAUCAGGGAUCAAGAGCAGAAAAUACAACGUGAUUCAUAUUAACUAAAGGAAAAGGUUGAGAGAGAAAAAACAACUAGAAAUGAAAACCACACGCACACUUACACAUCAGCAAAUGCCACACUGAGCAUGUCACUGGAACUUCUGCUUUUUAGAGUCCAAAGAAGAAAAAAAAGGCAGAUUUUCAAAACAAAGCCUAAUAAAACCAGUUGUAGCCAAAUUGAAUGAGCAUAAAGCACAAUGCAGCUACAUAAAAAAGAAACAAAUUGCUUUUCAUAAAGUUGGUAUUUGUUACAAGAAAAAAGGAGCCAACAUAGUAUUUCUCACCCAAUCUCAAAUGUCCUUUAUAUCCCUUUGUUAAUUUUUGUUGAAUACUAUCAGACAUUAAAAUGUUAAAGCUUUUAGAAGUUCUUUUUGUGGCUCAGUGGUAAUGAACCUGACCAGUAUCCAUGAGGACGGGGGUUCAAUCCCUGGCCUCGCUCGCUCAGUGGGUUAAGGAUCUGGCGUUGCUGUGAGCCGUGAUGUAGGUUGAAGAUGCGGCUUGGAUCCC
rnacentral:lncRNA from 1 species